UUUGCUCCGGAAAACGAGGGCAGCUACCACAAGGUGGCGUACCAGGCCUUCGGCGUGGGACCACGCAAUUGCAUCGGGAUGCGCAUGGCUUACAUGGCGCUCAAUUUAACAAUUGCGCGUUUGGUCCAACGAUUUCACCUCGAGCUGGGACCUUCGCAGGGAGAGGGACCUCUCGACAUCGGUUGCCGAGCCAUGGUAUCAGAACCAGCCGUUGGCCCCUGGAUUGUCUUUAGGAGGACAUGAGUACCGUACUAAAUAUUUAUCUUCAAACGCUUACGCUAAGAAAGCCACGCAAAUCACCGACACGAAGAAGACGUUCAUGAAGAGCCAAGAAAACGACACAACACCAUCAAAUACGGUGAUGAUGUCAUUAUACAGUGAGCUCCUUCGCCACCCACUUAAAUGUCAACAUGUACAACCCAUGACGCACCGGAGUGGUAACAUUCGGUUGUCUAGACAGCAAGCAUGUGGUAAAUUGUCAAAAUAAGAAGGCUUCCGCGCGAGAUUCUA